GGCCGCAGGCGUCGUCGUCACGCGUCGGAACGUGCACACGCCCACCCCGGGGCCCUGGGGGAGACCGGCGCGAGCCAGCCACGCUGCAGGGAUGGGACCUCCGGGACGGCAGAGCCAGGAGGGGAGGCGAGAGCCACGCGGUUGGAGGAGCGGACGCCGAAGAGUGCGCACGAGAUUCUCCGGACCAGAGACGCGGUUCUCCUGGAGGCUCCUGGGAGCACCAGGCUGACAGGGGCGGCCACACGGCGAGGCCGGCCUGCACCUGGGCAGACGGAAGGCAAGCUGACGGGACGUGUUCCUACAGCAGCAGCAAGACACCCUGUGCGGGAGGGACGAGGAAAAAGGGUUUCUUUUUCUCUUAGGAGGGGAGGAAGGCACCUGUUCCCGCCCCCUCUGAGAGGGUCCCCUUGGAAGCACAAUGGGCCCACCCUUAAUUCAAUACUUGGGUAUGUAAAUAAAAUCUCCAGGAGCCAGA